AUGAUGGAGUCCUCACUGUGGUAUCCUUUUGGCCCCGGGACCGAGCUGGAGCUCAAACGUGACACAGCUGCACCAAUUGCCUCCAUCUUCCCACCAGAUAAGGGAAUGCUGAACUCCGGCACAGUCUCUAUUGUCUGCAUAGCGGAUAAAUUCUACCCCAGUGAAAUCGUUGUCACCUGGAAGGUGGGUGGCGUCACCCAUACAACUGGUAUCCAGGAGAGCAAAACACCACAGAACUGCUCAGACAAUACCUACAGCCUCAGCAGCAUUCUGACGCUGAGCACUACACAGUACAACAGCAACGAUGUGUACACCUGUGAGAUAACACAUGCAGGCCUGACCUCACCACUUGUCAAGAGCUUUAACAGGAAUGAAUGCUAA